AAUAUGCCUGGCUCCCUGUAUGCCAUUUGCAGAUCGAGCCCACCGGAAAAAUCGAUGGCCCUCCGUAGAUGGCGUAUGAGGAGCCAAGCAUAUA
rnacentral:pre_miRNA from 1 species